rnacentral:rRNA from 1 species
UGCGUAGGCGGUUAUAUUAGUCGGGUGUUAAAUCCUGGGGCUCAACCUCAGGCUCGCAUUCGAAACGGUAUAACUAGAAGAAGUCAGAGGUAAGCAGAACUCUCGGUGUAGGGGUGAAAUCCGUUGAUAUCGAGGGGAAUACCAAAUGCGAAGGCAGCUUACUGGGACUCUCUUGACGCUGAGGCACGAAAGCGUGGGUAGCGAACG